GAUGAAGAACGUAGUGAAAUGCGAUAAGUAAUGUGAAUUGCAGAAUUCAGUGAAUCAUCGAAUCUUUGAACGCACAUUGCGCCCGCCAGUAUUCUGGCGGGCAUGCCUGUUCGAGCGUCAUUACAACCCUCAGGCCCCCGGGCCUGGCGUUGGGGAUCGGCGGAGCCCCCCGUGGGCACACGCCGUCCCCCAAAUGCAGUGGCGGUCCCGCCGCAGCUUCCAUCGCGUAGUAGCUAACACCUCGCGACUGGAGAGCGGCGCGGCCACGCCGUAAAACACCCAACUCUUCUGAAGUUGACCUCGAAUCAGGUAGGAAUACCCGCUGAACUUAAGCAUAUCAUUAAGCGGAGGA
rnacentral:misc_RNA from 1 species